rnacentral:rRNA from 1 species
UGAGUAAUGUCUGGGAAACUGCCUGAUGGAGGGGGAUAACUACUGGAAACGGUAGCUAAUACCGCAUAACGUCGCAAGACCAAAGAGGGGGACCUUCGGGCCUCUUGCCAUCAGAUGUGCCCAGAUGGGAUUAGCUAGUAGGUGGGGUAAUGGCUCACCUAGGCGACGAUCCCUAGCUGGUCUGAGAGGAUGACCAGCCACACUGGAACUGAGACACGGUCCAGACUCCUACGGGAGGCGGCAGUGGGGAAUAUUGCACAAUGGGCGCAAGCCUGAUGCAGCCAUGCCGCGUGUGUGAGGAAGGCCUUCGGGUUGUAAAGCACUUUCAGCGAGGAGGAAGGUGGUGAGCUUAAUACGCUCAUCAAUUGACGUUACUCGCAGAAGAAGCACCGGCUAACUCCGUGCCAGCAGCCGCGGUAAUACGGAGGGUGCAAGCGUUAAUCGGAAUUACUGGGCGUAAAGCGCACGCAGGCGGUUUGUUAAGUCAGAUGUGAAAUCCCCGGG